CGCGGAGUAGUUUACACUUCGACUCCGGUGGCUUCGGACACAUCGAGAUGUUUCGAGAACAUCUAGGGGGGGACAAGUGGCGGCACAUAACACACUUCAGGACUGGCUCGACGGGAAUAAACGAAAGGAACGGGCGAGCGAGACCCCGAGUAAGGAUGCAGUCUCCUCUCUUCAUUGUUUGAUCACACCAAGAUAGAUGCUAUGGGAACCGGAAGUAUCAGCAGCAGACUGUAUCAUCUCCCAUGAUACCAUCAUGACCAAGAGGGAUGAAGUAAUUUAAACAUCAUAAAUCAAGCAAUUAAAGUUUCAAACUAAAAAAAACCCUGACACAUAAAUGCUUCUGUUACUAGUAGGUAAUUUUCAUGCUUGAAAUGAAAUUCCUAAUAUUACUUUAAUACUGAAAUUUGAACAUCGGUAUAAUUUAAGUGUGCAUCUUGAUCAGAGUGGUUUAUCUGCCUUAUGUACAGGAAAUGUCUAACUUCCAGUUUUAAAACAUUUUUUCUUUCUGACAAUUUGCAUUAUGAUAAUUUUAUAUGCUUAAGUGAGGGAUGGAGAAGUUGAUGAAAUUGUACAUUUUUAUGUCUGCAAUGGAUUUUACAACUUCUGUGAUGUAAUGUACCUUUCUUAUACAUUUUUUCUU